rnacentral:sRNA from 1 species
CCCGCGGCGAGGAGCCAGCGAGAGCGCUCGGCGCUGGGCUGUUUCCCGGCCGAGGGAGGCGAACUUCUCAUGGGGAAGAAGUGGAGGGAUGCGGCGGAAAUGGAGCGGGGCUGCUCCGACCGCGAGGACAACGCGGAGAGCCGCAGACGCAGCCGGAGCGCCAGCCGGGGCAGGUUUGCCGAGUCGUGGAAAAGGUUAAGUUCCAAGCAGGGGUCCACCAAACGCUCGGGACUCCCGUCGCAGCAGACGCCGGCUCAGAAAUCCUGGAUAGAAAGAGCAUUUUAUAAAAGAGAAUGUGUCCACAUCAUACCCAGCACCAAAGACCCCCAUAGGUGUUGCUGUGGGCGUCUGAUAGGCCAGCAUGUUGGCCUCACCCCCAGUAUCUCCGUGCUUCAGAAUGAGAAAAAUGAAAGUCGCCUCUCCCGAAAUGACAUCCAGUCCGAAAAGUGGUCCAUCAGCAAACACACUCAACUCAGCCCUACGGAUGCUUUUGGGACCAUUGAGUUCCAAGGAGGUGGCCAUUCCAACAAAGCCAUGUAUGUGCGAGUAUCUUUUGAUACAAAACCUGAUCUCCUCUUACACCUGAUGACCAAGGAAUGGCAGUUGGAGCUUCCCAAGCUUCUCAUCUCUGUCCAUGGGGGCCUGCAGAACUUUGAACUCCAGCCAAAACUCAAGCAAGUCUUUGGGAAAGGGCUCAUCAAAGCAGCUAUGACAACUGGAGCGUGGAUAUUCACUGGAGGGGUUAACACAGGUGUUAUUCGUCAUGUUGGCGAUGCCUUGAAGGAUCAUGCCUCUAAGUCUCGAGGAAAGAUAUGCACCAUAGGUAUUGCCCCCUGGGGAAUUGUGGAAAACCAGGAGGACCUCAUUGGAAGAGAUGUUGUCCGGCCAUACCAGACCAUGUCCAAUCCCAUGAGCAAGCUCACUGUUCUCAACAGCAUGCAUUCCCACUUCAUUCUGGCUGACAACGGGACCACUGGAAAAUAUGGAGCAGAGGUGAAACUUCGAAGACAACUGGAAAAGCAUAUUUCACUCCAGAAGAUAAACACAAGUAAGUAGCGGUUGUUCCCACUGGCAUGGCUCGUAGGAAGUAUGCUGAAAGUGAAUAACUUUAAGUACACCAUGCAGCAAUGUAAUAAAAACUUGAGCAAGUUUUAAAUAUGAACCAUUAUUUCUACUGGGCCAGAGCUUAGAAUGAGAGGAAGCCAUCCAGAGGAGAACAAUUGGAGGCGUAAGAAGUAAUUACACAAUUACUGACUCCAGCUUGUGUAUCAUGUGUGAAAAAUUCAACUCCAUCUGGGGUAUGUGUAUGCAGAUAAGCUUUCUCUUCAGACUUUUCCUUCAUCAUCUGCAUGGUACUCUAAGGAGAAAAGUUUCUAUUUAUUAAGCUCUUUUUGGUGGCUAAACAGAAAAGCAAAAGAAUCAGAUUUUGAUCUUAGCACCGAUCUGGCUGUGCAAAGGCAUUUCAAAGAAAUUGAACAUUCACUCUCUAAGCUAAAGCAUCAUGUGAAAAUGUUUCUAUUUAUUAAGCUUUUUUUGGUGGCUAAACAGAAAAGCAAAAGAAUCAGAUUUUGAACUUAGCAACGAUCUAACUGUGCAAAGGCAUUUCAAAGAAAUUGAACAUUCACUCUCUAAGCUAAAGCAUCAUGUGAAACUAUCUUCAUGAAAUUUUAAUUGUCUGAAUGUUAAGUAUGUACUCAUUGUUUCUAGAUACAUAUGGAUUUAGAUAUAGAUAGAUGUAUAUGUGAACCACAUAGUACAUAGUUAUGCUAAUAUUAUCUCUUAAGCGCAUAGGAAUCUCUAUUUGCUGUAUUUAUUGUGUAAACAUUUGUUUUAACUGUGAAAGUUAGCAUCAUCAAAACAGCAAUGCUCCCCAGAUCACUAAGUGGCUUGCAUGUAAAUGCAAUUUAGGUAUGAAAGCAAUCUACCGUCCCGCCUCACAAAAUAAAAUUCUAUUUGUUUUUAUAAAGUAACAGGUGAGGAUGCAUGGCAAGCUCAAACUUUGUGGUAAUUAGAUGUCCCAUCAGGGAAACUUUGAUCUAAUUGAUUGAAAUUCCAAAGUCUACAGUUCCAAAGAACAAAAGAUUCCCUUUGGCUAGAUGAGUUUUCAGAGGUUCUAUGUACUGUGAUUCAACUUUUCCAAAUGACUUUUCCCUUCUCUAGAUUUUUCUCUGCACCUGUCCCAAAUGGGUCUUCAUUGCCAUAGCCACCUUCCUCCAAAAACAGGGAUGUUAGAUUUAUCAGACCACAGCUUCUCCUUCCUACACUCUCUUUUCUGGUCCCACCUUUUAGGGACUGCUACUGUUUAAGUGUCAUGUUUCAUGGUUUCAUAUUUUUCACGGUGAAACCUGAAAUAAUAAAUUUUGUCCUAGGUCUGAAAUAAAAAUUAUAUUAGGAAAUUUCCUUCCCCAACUGUCUUUGGAAAGAAGAAACCCAAGUGUUAUUAUCCCAAGGUGAACAUCUUCUGGAAACAAAAAGAGUAGAAAAGACUAGAAAAUAUACAGAGACCAGCAGAGAUCAAAUGUAACAAAGCACUGUGAUCAAUGGGUUGUAGGUUUUACUGUAAAUACUAAAAUUGAGUUCCAUUAUAGUACUUGAUAGAAUGGGCAAAUGUUAUGUAAUCAGUGUUAUCUAUUUAGGUUUUUAUAAGCUGCAGCAUGACUUUCUGUACACCAUCAAGUUAAGAAUGAGAGCUUAAAUAGGACUGAGCUAGAAGCUGAAGAGGAUAAGAGCAAGGAAACAAGGAAUAAAUUCAGGGUCAAGUUCAGUACUCGGUAAUAAGACAAAAUCGGUCCAGAGAGGCAAAGCAUGUCAUUGUGGCAGGCCCUGGUGGCAGCUGGACUGGUUAGCCAGUAGUGUGGGUAGCAGGCCUAGGGAUGUGUUCGUGUAAGUUACGCACCCAGCAAAGGGGAUGGGAGCUGGAGUUAAAACCCAGCCAGAGCCUAGGUUUUAGUCAAACUUUGGCACCUUCCAGAAUGCCUAGAGGAAGGGGGUUCCUUUUUCUACUUGAUCAUCCCAGAGGGAGUACCCUUUUGCAGUGUACGUGCCUGAAGGGGUGACUUUCUUCAGAAAUGGCAGAGCUGCUGCAUAUAUGGAUGGCACUGCAGGGGAAGCCCAGGGAGGCUCAUGGACAGUGGCCUGGCCUCCCUGAGGAGCAGAGGCCAACAGCACGCAGCUGAAGAGCAGGCCACGGUGGAUGGUCAGCAUGUCAGGAAUGCUGGAGGAGUCACCACCCGAUACUAGUCCUUGGGUAGAUCAUCAGGGACACAUCACAUUCCAUUUAUGGAAACACCAAACCUUUGCUAGAUUAUCAAGGCAGGUAGUGGCACAUGGGCACUUGACAAGCAGGGACCCGUCAGGAGUCUAGAGUACAAAGGAGGGGAGAGGCACAGAUCCAGGUACCACGGGACUUACUUUUGGGACUGUAUUUGUGGCUUCAUAGAGACCCACAGGCUCCUCUUCCAGUGAAUAUAUUAAUAAUUAAAUGGUGAGAGGAGAGUUAUAGAAGCCCAAGAGAAAUUCUGAAGUCACAGGAAGUAAAAAGGCCCAAGGUAAGGAAUUUGUGCAUGAGCUGUAGUGAAUGUCAAGAGUUAGCUCCUAUAGCAGUUCUACCCCUGAACUUAAUAGUGGUAGGGUGACCAACUUGUCUCAGUUUGCCUGGGACUUUGUUAGGUUUAGCCGUGAAAGUCCCAAAUCCCUGGGCCCCCUCAGUCCGGGCAAACUGAGAUAAUGGGUCGCCCUACAAGUGAGUGACUCAUAAGUCAUUAGGUCAACUUCCCUCAUUACUGUACUCAGCCCCCAAAGUCGGAUGGAGCAGCAAGCUCCUUAGAGGGUAGGGAGUGACCCAGGCCCUUUGAAGUAGGUAAAGCAGGACCUUUGAGGUCUCCAUUCAAUUAACAGCAAAAAAUGCUCACUGAGAACACAAAGGCCUCCAGAACAGCACUGACAAAGACACAAAGACAGGCAAAAAGCGGACCUGGUCUUAACAUGAAAAACGGCAGAAGAAUACAAACCUUUAAUGCAAUCCUCAGUCAGCAAUUUAGAACAGCAAAUCUACUUUCUAACAUGGACACUUUGUGGUUCUUCCUUUUAAAAAUAAAAUUUUAUGGCCGGGCACAGUGGCUCACACCUUUAAUCCCAGCACUUUGGGAGGCCGAGGCAGGUGGAUCACGAUGUCAGGAGUUCGAGACCAGCCUGGCCAACAUGGUGAAACCCCGUCUCUACUAAAAAUACAAAAAUUAGCUGGGCAUGGUGGCGGGUGCCUGUAAUCCCAGCUACUCGGGAGACUGAGGCAGGAGAAUUGUUUGAACCCUGGAGGCGGAGCUUGCAGUGAGCCGAGAUCAUGCCAUUGCACUCCAGCCUGGGCGACAGAGCAAGACUCCAUCUCAAAAAAAAA